GUAAAGCUCUUUCGCAAGGGAAGAAAGAUUACGCUCUAACAUAGCGUGAUUAUGACGGUACCUUGAUAAGAAGCACCGGCUAACUACGUGCCAGCAGCCGCGGUAAUACGUAGGGUGCGAGCGUUAAUCGGAAUUACUGGGCGUAAAGCGUGCGCAGGCUGUUUUGUAAGUCAGACGUGAAAUCCCCGAGCUCAACUUGGGAACUGCGUUUGAAACUACAAGACUAGAAUAUGUCAGAGGGGGGUAGAAUUCCACGUGUAGCAGUGAAAUGCGUAGAGAUGUGGAGGAAUAUCAAUGGCGAAGGCAGCCCCCUGGGAUAAUAUUGACGCUCAUGCACGAAAGCGUGGGGAGCAAACAGGAUUAGAUACCCUGGUAGUCCACGCCCUAAACGAUGUCAACUAGUUGUUGGUAGAGUAAAAUCUAUGAGUAACGCAGCUAACGCGUGAAGUUGACCGCCUGGGGAGUACGAUCGCAAGAUUA
rnacentral:rRNA from 1 species